UGGGAACCUUCCCUAUGGUUCGGAAUAGCUCAGGGGAAACUUGGGGUAAUACCGGAUAAGCCCUUCGGGGGAAAGAUUUAUCGCCAUUGGAUGGGCCCGCGUCGGAUUAGCUAGUUGGUGAGGUAACGGCUCACCAAGGCAACGAUCCGUAGCUGGUCUGAGAGGAUGAUCAGCCACACUGGGACUGAGACACGGCCCAGACUCCGUACGGGGAGGCAG
rnacentral:rRNA from 1 species